GGUGGUAAUGCCGGAUGCUCCAUCACACUGCAUGGUGUGUUGGGAAAGCCUUUGCGGCAUGGGAUGGGGUCGCGUCCUAUCAGCUUGAUGGCGGGGUAACGGCCCACCAUGGCUUCGACGGGUAGCCGGCCUGAGAGGGCGACCGGCCACAUUGGGACUGAGAUACGGCCCAGACUCCUACGGGAGGCAGCAGUGGGGAAUAUUGCACAAUGGGCGCAAGCCUGAUGCAGCGACGCCGCGUGAGGGAUGGAGGCCUUCGGGUUGUAAACCUCUUUUGUUAGGGAGCAAGGCAUUUUGUGUUGAGUGUACCUUUCGAAUAAGCACCGGCUAACUACGUGCCAGCAGCCGCGGUAAUACGUAGGGUGCAAGCGUUAUCCGGAAUUAUUGGGCGUAAAGGGCUCGUAGGCGGUUCGUCGCGUCCGGUGUGAAAGUCCAUCGCUUAACGGUGGAUCCGCGCCGGGUACGGGCGGGCUUGAGUGCGGUAGGGGAGACUGGAAUUCCCGGUGUAACGGUGGAAUGUGUAGAUAUCGG
rnacentral:rRNA from 1 species